rnacentral:rRNA from 1 species
UGGGGAAUAUUGGACAAUGGGGGAAACCCUGAUCCAGCGAUGCCGCGUGUGUGAAGAAGGCCUGCGGGUUGUAAAGCACUUUCAGUGGGGAGGAUGAUAUUGUUCGCUAAUAUCGAACAGUAUUGACGUUACCCACAGAAGAAGCACCGGCUAACUCCGUGCCAGCAGCCGCGGUAAUACGGAGGGUGCAAGCGUUAAUCGGAAUCACUGGGCGUAAAGCGCGCGUAGGUGGUUUGAUAAGUAGACUGUGAAAUCCCCGGGCUUAACCUGGGAACUGCAGUCUAAACUGUCUCACUCGAGAUCAGUAGAGGGAGGUGGAAUUCCUGGUGUAGCGGUGAAAUGCGUAGAUAUCAGGAAGAACACCGGUGGCGAAGGCGACCUCCUGGACUGCAUCUGACACUGAGGUGCGAAAGCGUGGGGAGCGAACAGG